rnacentral:rRNA from 1 species
GAUGAACGCUGGCGGCGUGCCUAAUACAUGCAAGUCGAGCGAACGGACGAGAAGCUUGCUUCUCUGAUGUUAGCGGCGGACGGGUGAGUAACACGUGGAUAACCUACCUAUAAGACUGGGAUAACUUCGGGAAACCGGAGCUAAUACCGGAUAAUAUUUUGAACCGCAUGGUUCAAAAGUGAAAGACGGUCUUGCUGUCACUUAUAGAUGGAUCCGCGCUGCAUUAACUAGUUGGUAAGGUAACGGCUUACCAAGGCAACGAUGCAUAGCCGACCUGAGAGGGUGAUCGGCCACACUGGAACUGAGACACGGUCCAGGCUCCUACGGGAGGCAGCAGUAGGGAAUCUUCCGCAAUGGGCGAAAGCAUGACGGAGCAACGCCGCGUGAGUGAUGAAGGUCUUCGGAUCGUAAAACUCUGUUAUUAGGGAAGAACAUAUGUGUAAGUAACUGUGCACAUCUUGACGGUACCUAAUCAGAAAGCCACGGCUAACUACGUG